rnacentral:rRNA from 1 species
UUGGCCUACGGGGGGCAGCAGUGAGGAAUAUUGGUCAAUGGGCUUACGCCUGAACCAGCCAAGUCGCGUGAGGGAAGACUGCCCUAUGGGUUGUAAACCUCUUUUGUCAGGGAGCAAUUGGCGCUACGUGUAGCGUUAUCGAGAGUACCUGAAGAAAAAGCAUCGGAUAACUCCGUGCCAGCAGCCGCGGUAAUACGGAGGAUGCGAGCGUUAUCCGGAUUUAUUGGGUUUAAAGGGUGCGUAGGCGGUUUGAUAAGUUAGAGGUGAAAUGUCGGGGCUCAACCCCGAAACUGCCUCUAAUACUG